rnacentral:rRNA from 1 species
GACGAACGCUGGCGGCGUGCUUAACACAUGCAAGUCGAACGAAGAGCGAUGGAAGCUUGCUUCUAUCAAUCUUAGUGGCGAACGGGUGAGUAACGCGUAAUCAACCUGCCCUUCAGAGGGGGACAACAGUUGGAAACGACUGCUAAUACCGCAUACGAUCUAAUCUCGGCAUCGAGGAUAGAUGAAAGGUGGCCUCUACAUGUAAGCUAUCACUGAAGGAGGGGAUUGCGUCUGAUUAGCUAGUUGGAGGGGUAACGGCCCACCAAGGCGAUGAUCAGUAGCCGGUCUGAGAGGAUGAACGGCCACAUUGGGACUGGGACACGGCCCAGACUCCUACGGGAGGCAGCAGUGGGGAAUCUUCCGCAAUGGACGAAAGUCUGACGGAGCAACGCCGCGUGAGCGAUGACGGCCUUCGGGUUGUAAAGCUCUGUUAAUCGGGACGAAAGGCCUUCUUGCGAAUAGUGAGAAGGAUUGACGGUACCGGAAUAGAAAGCCACGGCUAACUACGUG